ACCUCUGCAAUAGGCGAAAGCUUGACAGGGUUACUCUGAGUGGUUUCCGCUAAGGAGAUCUUUUGACACCUCUAAAAAUGGUGUAGAAUAAGGGGUGGACAAGUCUGGUGUCAGCCGCCGCGGUAAUACCAGCACCCCGAGUGGUCGGGACGAUUAUUGGGCCUAAAGCAUCCGUAGCCGGCCUUACAAGUCCCCCGUUAAAUCCAACUGCUUAACAGAUGGGCUGCGGAGGAUACUAUAAGACUAGGAGGCAGGAGAGGCAAGCGGUACUCAGUGGGUAGGGGUAAAAUCCGUUGAUCCAUUGAAGACCACCAGUGGCGAAGGCGGCUUGCCAGAAUGCGCUCGACGGUGAGGGAUGAAAGCUGGGGGAGCAAACCGGAUUAGAUACCCGGGUAGUCCCAGCUGUAAACGAUGCAGACUCGGUGAUGGACUAGCUUAAUGCUAGUCCAGUGCCGCGGGGAAGCCGUUAAGUCUGCCGCCUGGGUAGUACGGUCGCAAGACUGAAACUUAA
rnacentral:rRNA from 1 species